rnacentral:lncRNA from 1 species
UUACUUCUCAUUUUUGCAAUAGUGUUUGCCGUCUGUCUUGCAGGUGUUGAUGCAAGCUUUUUUAAUAAAGAUGAGAUAAUACAGUUCUUCAAAGGAAUAUUCAAGAAAUCUUCAUCAGAUAAUGGACCGUCUCGGCCAGUACCCUAAUAAAAAGAUGAGGAAAGCGCAGCCCCAAUGUCCGUCAUAGUUCAAUACCAACCACACUAAUGACAAAGAUUCCAAUUUUAUUCAAGGAUCAUUCUAUAACAAAUAAUGUUAACUAAUGCUAUUACUACUAGAAAUACCUAUUAACUUUCAAAUAAAUAUGCAAUACAUGUA